UUACAGUUCAAAAGCAGAAUUUUCAACUUUUUAAUAACAAUCCCUUCACGCCGCGCCGAUAUGUGUUUCUGUACUAAUUUGCGCUCUUAUUUCGCGUUGGAUACUUUUACCUAUAGAUAUGUCAUUCUAUAAUUAGGAUUGUUUCUGGGGCUCGCUUGCAAUAUAUAUAUAUUCAACAUUUUCUUUCCUAUUUCCGUACAUUUUGUAUUUUCCUCGUUCGUGGUAAUUAGUUUUUAUUAGCACAAUGAGCAAACGAUCACGUACCGAAAUAGAAGUUCAAUUUCUUAGCGACUGUGUAUACUCUGCGUUAGUCAAAUCUGGAUACUCAAAGCUUCCUUUCUACAGUGUUUCGGAGGGUGACAGUUCCUUCGCUUAAGUACACCAAGACUUCUUUUGAGAUGAGGAUAAGAAUUAGGACCGGUGUCCAGCUUUCCCUGUACGAAAGACAGAAAUUCGAAGGGUGACAGUUCCAUCUCUUAAAUACACCAAAACUUCAUUUGAGAUGAGGAUAAGAAUUUCAUUUUGGACCGGUGUCCGAUGGAAGGGAAGUUAUGUUUCUCUGUCAGCUUGCCAAAUGUUUUCUAUCCUUCACUGCAAUCGUCAAAAACACGGAGUCUACUUAAAGAUCAUGAACAUUUUCAACAUUCGUCUGAAUAAACUGAAGGAACUGUAGCGUAAAUAUAUCUGCAAAGACAGAACAUUCUAACUUACUCACCGGAUUGGAUCGAGCUGUUUUGAAAUGUGAAACAAAUGAGUAACAUAUAAAUAUUUGUUUUAUUAGAAUUGGUUUAACCCCCCAGUUCCAUGGCCAGAUAUUAUGCCAAAUUAUUAGACGGAGGUCCAUUUCCCGUAGAUCAUCUCCGGAGAUGAUUCUCCGGCUCCGUCAACUGUAUUAGACGGAGAUUAAGCUCUGAGCUCUCCGGGAAUUUCUCGGAGAUUAAUUCAUACAUAAUCAUACAGAAUCAACAAAAUUACCGUAGAUGGUCUCCGGUCAUGGAACUGCAAACCGGAGAAAUAUCAGUAGACGAUCUCCGUCUAAUAAUUUGGCAUAAUAUCCGGCCGUGGAACUGGGGUGUAAGGAAUUGCUUUCUUAUGAUUUAAAUUAUUUAUAGCGUUGUAGGGCCCUGAAAGUAGAUGUUUGGGGCCGUUCACAUUACGUAAUCGGAGCCCAAUCGGAGAGAGAGGCGGUGUUUAUAUGAUAACGUUUGUGUAAUUUUAACACAAUAACUAACUUGUAACUGUAAAACUGGUUAUAUAGGGAGUAAGGGAGCUAAAAUAGGCUGAAAAGUGAUGUCUUAACAUAUGAUCGGAACGACUCUCAGCUGUUUUAUUGUAAUUGGUGUAUCUUGCUCUUAUUAUUUAAAUUUUAGCGUUGUCAUGUAGGCCCUGAAAGCAGAUGUUUGGGGCCUCGGGCCAUUUACAUUACGUAAUCAUUGCGAAGAGAGAGGCGGUCUUCAUAUGAUGUUUGUUUGUGUAAUUUUACGAGCCAGAUGUUUUGUGUUUGAGUCAAAAGUUCUAAAUAUUCUGUUACCAGUGCACAGCAAGUUCAUCGAGUGUAGUAUGAACUUUCAGCACAUAAGAUAAGAACUACUGUGCAGCUGGAUAGUUACUCAUUCAGAUGUGAAAUCAUUGUACAUUUGUUUAAUCG